UACGGGGGGGGCAAGCGUUGUUCGGAAUUACUGGGCGUAAAGGGCUCGUAGGCGGCCAACUAAGUCAGACGUGAAAUCCCUCGGCUUAACCGGGGAACUGCGUCUGAUACUGGAUGGCUUGAGGUUGGGAGAGGGAUGCGGAAUUCCAGGUGUAGCGGUGAAAUGCGUAGAUAUCCGGAGGAACACCAGUGGCGAAGGCGACUUCCUGGCCUGUUCUUGACGCUGAGGCGCGAAAGCUGGGGGAGCAAACGGG
rnacentral:rRNA from 1 species